rnacentral:rRNA from 1 species
GUACGCCAGUAUGUGUGGAGCCGUCCUUGAAAUACCACCCUUGUAGUGUUGAUGUUCUAACGUCGACCCCUAAUCGGGGUUGCGGACAGUGCCUGGUGGGUAGUUUGACUGGGGCGGUCUCCUCCCAAAGAGUAACGGAGGAGCACGAAGGUGGGCUAAUCACGGUUGGACAUCGUGAGGUUAGUGCAAUGGCAUAAGCCCGCUUGACUGCGAGAAUGACAAUUCGAGCAGGUGCGAAAGCAGGUCAUAGUGAUCCGGUGGUUCUGAAUGGAAGGGCCAUCGCUCAACGGAUAAAAGGUACUCCGGGGAUAACAGGCUGAUACCGCCCAAGAGUUCAUAUCGACGGCGGUGUUUGGCACCUCGAUGUCGGCUCAUCACAUCCUGGGGCUGAAGUCGGUCCCAAGGGUAUGGCUGUUCGCCAUUUAAAGUGGUACGCGAGCUGGGUUUAGAACGUCGUGAGACAGUUCGGUCCCUAUCUGCCGUGGGCGUUGGAAGAUUGAAGGGGGCUGCUCCUAGUACGAGAGGACCGGAGUGGACGAACCUCUGGUGUUCGGGUUGUGUCGCCAGACGCAUUGCCCGGUAGCUAAGUUCGGAAUCGAUAACCGCUGAAAGCAUCUAAGCGGGAAGCGAGCCCUGAGAUGAGUCUUCCCUGAUACUUUAAGUAUCCUAAAGGGUUGUCGGAGACUACGACGUUGAUAGGUCAGGUGUGUAAGUGCUGUGAGGCAUUGAGCUAACUGAUACUAAUUGCCCGUGAGGCUUAACCAU